UGUUCUGAUUACAAUGAAUGCAUUUUUAUUAUCAUUAAGUAUUAAUUUUAGAAAUAGCUCAUGGAAAAAGCUUAAGUAUUAUAAAUAGUUGUUUCAGUGUGAUGAAUACAAAUUACUUUAGAAUUUGGUAUUUUAACUAUCUUGUUUGAUUUAAUGGCAGUACUGUAAUGUUAUUUUCCUUUACACAUUCUGACCUCUCCAUAUAUUGUAUAGUUUAACUAAUACAGUGGACCCAUGUUUUUGUGUUCUCACCUAUUUGUGUUUCUCUAUGGAUCAUAUCUACCAGUUAUUCGUGGAAAGCUUGCCUAUUCACGGUAAUUUUCACUGAGAAAUAUUCACUAAUUACUAUUUUCAUACCAAUUUUAUGACUGCAUUUUUUGUGAUAAAACUAUUAAAAUAUUCAGGGUUAAGCAUUCUUAGAAGGUUUUUCUUGUGUUUGAAGUAACAAAAUAUGCAGUUCUAAGCAUUUUCAAGACUGGUUUUAAGUAUUCGGAGAUUUUAGCUAUUCAUGGGGGUGUCUGGUACUCUCGUCCCCUGCGAAUAAGGGGGCCAUCCAUUGUAGUAUGUAUAAGCAUUGUUUAUAAUUUGGAAAAAAAUGGUUACCUAGUUGCAAACAUUUAGUAGAAGAGUAGGCCCACAUGUUUUAUAAUUUGGAAAAAAGGGUUACCUAAUUGCAAACAUUUAGUAGAAAAGUAGGCCCACAGUUCUCAAGGUUUCAGUUUCAUUGGAUUGUACAUAUUAUUGUUGUUGCCAUAUCUGCUUUUGACAUAUUUUUAAAAUAAGGAAACAUUUACCACUGUUACAGAAAUGUUAGAUGUGCAUCAAAGAACAGACUUUGAGCUGUAAGAUGAUAUGAUGCAUUUGUGAGACCUGGCUUUUUUCUACUUUGAAAUUUGCAACAUGUCAUAAGGGGUUCUGGAACAUAUCCCCAUACAGAUCUCUUCUAACCAACUUUCUUCUUUUUCAUAUAUCCAAAUCAUCAUAACCUUUGAGGCCUGUCUGUUUUUAGCCACUGAACACAUCUCUCUCCAACUUCUGCAAACAUAAUAUGAUGCAUUUAUUAUUACUGAAAACUGUCAAAAGUAGUAGUUCUCCAUGUAGCUGGGAAGGUUGCUCUUUCUAUGAAGCUUUUAACACACUACCAGGUUCAAAGUCCAGGUUAAUAAUUUAUAAUGUUUUGUACUGUUUUGCUUCUUCAUAUAUAGAUUUACCUAAUAAACUUAGUACAUCAAGUUUCCUCUGUAAGGGAUUAGAUGUCCGAACAAUCUCUGUCAUUUAGAUCAUUUUUUUUUUUUUUUUUUUUUGCAGCCUCUUGUUACCAUGUCUUUAUACCAGUAAUGUAUUUUCAAUGCAAUCAGGUAGUAUGCAGAGUAGGGAGACAGGGACAUUCAGUGUUGCGGGGAUGUCCAGCGAGGUCAUGGCAGUACACUUUUAAGUUAGGAAGGAACAUGAGGAACAGAGAGAGGGAGAGAGAGAGAGCGUGCGAGCUAUUUAACAAUGCAAUUUAUAUUAAGUAUACAUUUUUUUGGGAAUCUUUUCUUUUAUUGUAAAUGGAACUAAUUUUAUAGAAUGUACAGAAUUAUAUAAAUUCAUUAGAAA